GAUCCCGUAGCUCAGUCGGAUAGAGCAACUGCCUUCUAAGCAGUAGGUCGGUGGUUCGAGCCCACUCGGGAUCG
rnacentral:tRNA from 1 species